rnacentral:rRNA from 1 species
UACGGAGGAUGCAAGCGUUAUCCGGAUUUAUUGGGUUUAAAGGGUGCGUAGGCGGGAAAAUAAGUCAGUGGUGAAAUCCUACAGCUUAACUGUAGAAUUGCCGUUGAUACUGUUUUUCUUGAGUAUGGUCAAGGAAGGCGGAAUGUGUAAUGUAGCGGUGAAAUGCUUAGAUAUUACACAGAACACCAAUUGCGAAGGCAGCUUUCUGGCCCAUUACUGACGCUGAGGCACGAAAGCGUGGGGAUCGAACAGGAUUAGAUACCCGCGUAGU